UAACCUGGGAAGAAAAGAGACCUCUUGAACUGCUUGUGCCAGAAUGAACACUGUGAUGUUUCAUGGGGUAAAGGGACUGGUUCAGGAGGCAGCCUUCAGACAACUCAAUCUCCACAUCCAGAAUGAGUUAUCAGAUGUUUAUUCCCUAAGAAUGCAUUUUUUCUUUUUUUUACUUCUAAGAAUGAACAAGAUUAUGGCUUCAAAAAUUCACUGACAUUUCCAUUGUCAGGCAGAAUGGUCUAUUGAACAUAUGUGACAAUGGUAAAUUCUUCAUGGCACAAAAACAGAAAAUUCUAUUGAGCCCAGUUGACUACUAUAAAUUAUACCUUUCAUAUUUGGCUUUUUCUUUGGUUUUGAGGAUAUUUGGGGAAUUCACAGAUUAUCUGUCAAGAUAUUUUAAAAUUAAAUUGACUCAUUCCCUUACUAUCCCCUCUUCCUGGACAAUCUCUUUUCACACGUAGAGACCACCAAACAGCCUAUUCAUUUUGGAUGAAUUUUAUUUUCUUUGUGUUCUAGUGAACCAAAUGACUCACUACCCUGAGGAAUUCACAGUAACCACUGCCUUAGACAAAAAGGCAACAGCAAGUGGAAGGCAUGCGAUAUUUUUAUUCUGUUUCACCACUAGCUUCAGAGAGAAUUUUUUUUGGUAAAAUACUCCAAAAUGUAACCAAAUAUUAAUAUAUAUAAUAGAUAAUACAGAAUACAAUAUUCAAAAAUUUAUCUGUUCAUGUCAUUGUGGGUGGGUAAGUUUGUUUGCUUUCUUUUUUUUUUUUUCCAAGUAGGCCAGAAUUUAUUUAUUCUAGUUAUUUAAAUCCUCACUUCAAUGAGUGGUUUAAAAUGCAUCCUUAUAAAGGAAGCCUGUGGAUUGUUCUCGUAAAUGUUGGGAAGAAAGUUAUGAUUUAGGUGAAAAUGACACAGUGGUAGAGAAAUGAAACAGAUUCACUUUAUGCCGUAUAAUAAGCUUCUGCCAGAGCUCAUACUAUUAACCAUGUAGAGUACCUGAGAAUAAGUGGAACCACUAUCUUAAUACAAUUCUCUGAGAGAAAAGAAUCUUUAAAGUCCUAGAUUUUCAUAACACAAAUAUAAACUAGGUUUCACAAUCAGAUUUUUAACAUUGAAACCAAAAGUUAAAAUAUAGCUAAUCAAUAUGCAUCAUUAAUAAAUAAUCUAUAUAUUGAGUGCCUGUUAAGAGUCUUUAUAUUGAAGAAGGAUCACAUUAUAUUACAGUCUUUAUAGAAGACAAUACGUAACUAUCCUUGGAUAUACAAAAAUAUAUCUUCAUUCAUUUCAGAAAUAUGAAAACAUGGCUUUUAAAUAGUCACUGAAUUAGGAGAUUGGCUCAGUUCAUCAAAUGAGGCUUCCUCAGUUUGGAGAACCAGAGAGCAAGCUUAGAAAAAGGCCAGUUUGGGAGGUCUGGCCUAUGCCUGCAAUUGGCGAGUGGAACCAGUGUGUAAUCUAAAAAGCUACCCUUUGUCUUUCCUUAUGUGUCUCAUUGUUUUACAUUCUUAUUACCCUAAAUCAUAGUGGUUUCAAUUUAUUGAAUUAUUUUAAAUUCUUUUAAGACAGCACAUAUUAUGAAUAUAGUUAGGUAUAAUGGCCACAUUUCCUUGAGCUACAUUCUGUCCACAGUUGAUAGAACCUUCCUUUAAUAUGCUUGGUACGUCUAUUUAAGACUAACAAGGGCUGGGCGUGGUGUCUCACGCCUGUAAUCCCAGCACUUUGGGAGGCUGAGGCGGGCGGAUCACAGGGUCAAGAGAUCGAGACCAUCCUGGUCAACAUGGUGAAACUCCGUCUCUACUAAAAAUACAAAAAAAAAAAAAAAAAAAAAAAAAAUAGCUGGGCGUUGUGGCGUGCGCCUGUAGUCCCAGCUACUCAGGAGGCUGAGGCAGGAGAAUCACUUGAAGCCGGGAGGUGCAGGUGCAGUGAGCUGAGAUCGCGCUACUCCAGCCUGGUGCCUGGCGACAGAGCAAGACUCUUGUCUCAAAGAAAACAAAAAACACUAACAAGAUAAGCUCAGAAUUCUGAUACCUACAGUGUUUGAGGUUUAUAUGAUAAGGAAAAACCAUCAGACCUGGGAACAAGAAAUGCGAUUAAGCCCAUAUUACCAUUUUCACUACUUCUACUUCUCUGGUCUCAUUUGCAGACACGACCUGAGAGAACAUUCUUUUCACAUUAAUUGCAGAAAAUAGAUUUUGAUUGUUUUUCAUUGGCUAGGUCUUUCAUUGUGAUUCAUAGAUCCAAUUGCCCUGAAAACUUCUGUGGCUAUUUUAUCAUUUUAUUAUGACAUUAUUUCAAACCACAUAAAGCUCUUUGUACCAUAAAUUAUUAUAUACAUAAUAAAAUAACUUGAGAUGAUCAUAGAAAACCUAUGACCAAAAAAUUUCCCUCUGAUUUAGUUCUAUAACAAAGACCAGGCAAUGUAAACUCACUCUCAAGUCCAUGUAAUUGUGGCUAUAAUAGGGCUGUACUUCUGGCUGAAAAUUGAAAGCACAAGUUGAAAAUGAGAUGAGUGCCAUUUGAUACUUUUGACUAUAUUUAUUCAUACACUGAAAGGCUUUUGACCUCAAUGGAGCUUUGCAGAAUAUAUACAGCUACAAUGUAAACAAACUAAUAACAAAAAGAAGAGGAAAGGAGGGAAGGAGAAGAGGGAAGUGAGGGAAAGAGGGGCGGGUCACUUAGUGUCUGCAGAUUAUUUGUGUAUUUCCUUAUUGAAACCUUCCAUCCUUUCACAGAGGCAUCUGUUUAAAAAUAAAUUAGGUGGCCUUUAAGAGAUUCAUUUAAUACACCAUCUUCUAAACAAAAUUUGUGUGAAGGGAAAAUAAUAGAGCUGUGAAGAUAUUCAGAAAGCAGAAUGUCUUGCUUGGAAGAGGAAGCAAUCCUUAAUAACAAAUAAUAUUUAAGGAGAGAAAAAGAGUGGGCAGGUUGGGUUGCCUCAUCCCAGCAAAGGUGCAGAGCCUGUGAAAGCAGGAUUCAUCUUUGUUGCCAGCCCAAAUGCAGCUGCCCUGCCACAGCAUUUCCUUCUCUAGGCCUCCUCUGCCUGAUGAUUUGUGAACGUUAAUAUUCAGUUAUGCAUAGCAAUGGGCUACCAGCUCUACACACUGGGGUUCCCAUGGUAAACACACUUAAGGCAAAUAAGGAUUUAUGUGGGGAGUGAGUACCAUUUCAAAAUGAAAACUUUAAUGUAAGGAGAGCCCAAUUUAUAUUCAUGAAUCCCAUCCAUUUCUCAAUUCUCUCUCCAGGCAAGAAAUUUACACCUGCGAUGGUUUAAUUGGGGGUACGCGUUUCUUUAAAUUAUGUCACAGAAGGUAGAGAACAGAAUAGUCUUUAAAACGGGCAGCUGUCUGGAUGUGAAUCUGAGUUCUGGUUCAGAAAUAGACAAAUAGAAAUGAAAUAGCAGUGACCUACAAAUGAACCGACAAUGUCUGCCUGGGACACACCACCCCCGAAGGCAGAGAAGGCAGCACGGGUGGGAACUGCUGAUCUUGUCUAUUCAAAUGAGAAAUGUGUUCCAGUUUGUCAAUUCUUAGCUGUGAAAUGAUCACUUUUUCAUAUUUAUUGAGGAUUAGCAAGAUAUAAUGCAUCUUACAAAAUGGAAGCAGCAACAGUAUCUGCCCCGUAGGCUCGCUACAGAGUUGAUAAAGACAUUAGCUAUUUUUAUUAUUUCUUUUUCAGUCAAGAUCGAUUCAAUUUUCAAGUCACAUGUGUCAUUUAUUUUCUGGAGGUAAAAAGGUUAGGAAAUGGACAAAUGCCUCCCAGCAAACAAAAGAACGCACUUGACAAAGACCGAGGAGUAUAUAAGGUUUAAAAUGUCUGCGUUGUAUAGAUCUGAAAUGGAAUAUGUUUUCUACAACCAUUGCAUACUAUUUGUAGUUUGAGGAUAUUCCGUUAAUAUUCAGUCAAGAAAACAUUUAUCUUCAUGUGGCACAAUUAUGAACAAUUAGAAUGUAAGUUGAUUAGGGAUUGUAGAAUGGCAUGGCUGUGAGUAAUAUUAUUUUAACUCUUAUUUGAGUAGUUUGUUACAGUUGCAAUAGUUUGGAAAUAAAUGAAAAGACAGACAAAAUAGUAAUCUCUAUUUCUGCCUUUCUGUUAUGCCUGCUGUUAGUUAUGGAGGUUGAAACAGGGAAGGGAGUAGUGAAGAGAGCAAAUUUCUAUACUGAGCACGUUUCCUCAGAAGCUGGCCAAUUCUCACAGCCUCUCCCAAUCCACCCACGCAGUGUGAUAUACAUGUGUUUAGUAAGGGAAGUAAUCUUAAUAUGGUAGAAUGUCUUUUCAAAUGAUUAGAAUUAGCGAGCUGUUUAAUAUAAAAAACACAUAAAUUCUCUUGGAGAAUUUCACAGGAACCACCAAAAGCCUAGCUUCUGAAUCAAACUCUGCUUUUUACAUGGUGUGAGGUAGAACUACAGUAGCUUAGCUUCAUGGCAUAGCUGGUGAAUAACAUGUAGAAGAAAACUGCUUAUCCAGAAAAGCCCUGUCCUUUAGCUAAAGUUUUACAGUUUGUGUAUUUUGCCACUUUACAGCAUCUGCCUGGUUCUUUGUCUUGGCUUCCUAUCAAUUUUCGGUCCUUUAUCUUCUUUGAGGAUUUUCCAUUAGAAACUAGCUAUAUUUGUUGAUCACUUACUCUAAGCCAAGCAGCGAAUUAAGCUCUUGUUACAACAAUCCUAGGGGGCAGUCAACAUUACUAAACUCCGCUUGCAGAAGAGAAAACUGACUUAGGAGGAUACAGUAACUUGUUAAGGUCACACAGUUAGUAUGAGGAAUUGUAGCUAAAAUUUAAGUUGUGGUUUUCUCACUUUGGCAUGCUCGCUUUUGUGUGCUAAAUUGUAGCACCAUUUAUUUAUACAUUCUUCCAGCUCUCAUACACCUCACAUAAUCCCUGUUAUGUGGCAAGUAUUCAAUGACUGCUUAUUACAUUAAUUGUUUUCUCAAUAGUUCAAACAAGUAAAAAAAGAUAAGAGUUAUGCUCCACAGUUUGUUGAACAAGAUUUUAUUAAUAGCAAAUAAAGAAAAACAGGAGAAAUUAAAGGUAAAACAUGACGGCCUGUCAGAAUCAACUCAUAUCACUCAGUGACAGUUUGAAGGCUUGUUACGUAGAGAGUGAGGUACCAGGAAGACAGUUGAGGGGUGGGGUAUGGGUGGCGGCUAUUCAAACAGACCCCUUACCCUUCAUUUACUUCAUUUUUAAUCAGUGAUACUAUAGUUUUUAAUUACUAGGACCAUUUCAAAUAAUGGCUUUCCUCACAAUCUUUGAAGAGACUGUGUAUUUUUUUCUGGCUUGUUUUCUCAAAAUAAUCUUAAAUCUUGAAAUACACAAAUAACUUAAUUCUACAUUAAAUAUAAGAUCAAUUCAAUGAUUUGAGUGUUCCAGGCUACUGGGUGUCUCUGGGAAAGUUACUUGGCCUCUGGAAACAAGGAUAGUAUUAAUAUUAUUUGAAAGAUAAAAAUAAAUUAAAAAAAAAAAAGAUACACAAGGACUGCCAAACCACCUGGGACAUCAGAUGAGGGCCUGGAGAAAUCAACCUCCCUCAGGCCACAUGGAGAUGGGUAUACUUUUGGAAUUCAUAGACUACUGUCAAUCUGCUCUCUAGUUCUAUGAACACUAUGGAUUUGUUUCCCCCUCCCACUUCAUUGCAGGGGCACAUCGUCUUUAAGACAGAAAUAUCUUCUUCUGUUGAUAGCACUGUGGUGUUCACAGUAGCCUCAGGUGGAGAAAACAGAUACACAGCUUGAUAUUUUAGUGUUGCUAUGCUUUAAUGAAAGAGGAGCCACUGCCUUAUGCCUCAGAGACGUGGAUUUUGGGGUCAUGGAUGUUCCUACCUGCAACUUCUCCUUCAGGGCAAACAUGAGACACAUUGUUAAAUGACUAGAGGAAUGGAUCAUGCACGGAAUUUCAAUGAAUACCUCCAAGGGAAGCCAGCAUUGAAUUCCGUUUUAAAUGGAAGAGGCUGUCAUAUUAUUGAAGUAAUUCUCUGAACUUUCCUGGCCCAUAGUGCUGUGCUGACAUCCAGAGAGCUUCAACAACCCAGAGGGAGAAAGACUGCAUGAAAGACUCACAAACGUUUUACUUUCUUAAUGAGGUUGCGUGGCGUAGAAGAAAAUGUGGCAUUCUUGCACCUCUACCCGCAGUGUUAAUUAUGGAUAUACUUAAAACCAGGCUGGGAGGCAGCAAAUUGCUGCUGAGGCAACAUUAAGUAGCUUUUUCCCCAGACCAAGCUUGGGGCAAAGUCAAGAUGGAGAUGGCUCUAAUAACUGUCCCCAUGAUAUUCCUCCUGGUGGAUAUUUUCAAUGAUGAAAUGCUGUUGGCCAGCUGACUACAGCAAGACAAUUAUGAAGUCAAAAGUCACAGGGUCAACGUCAUUGCGAUCAAAUUACUGUCACUGUUGCAUGGCUACAGGAUGUAACCUAACCUUGGCCAAUUAUACUGAAAUGAGUACCAUGGCCACAGAUUCAAUCUAUAGAAACCCACCUGUCACUACAACCGAAAUAAAUAAAUCAAUAAAUAAAAACUA